rnacentral:rRNA from 1 species
GACGAACGCUGGCGGCGUGCUUAACACAUGCAAGUCGAACGGAAAGGCCCUGCUUUUGUGGGGUGCUCGAGUGGCGAACGGGUGAGUAACACGUGAGUAACCUGCCCUUGACUUUGGGAUAACUUCAGGAAACUGGGGCUAAUACCGGAUAGGAGCUCCUGCUGCAUGGUGGGGGUUGGAAAGUUUCGGCGGUUGGGGAUGGACUCGCGGCUUAUCAGCUUGUUGGUGGGGUAGUGGCUUACCAAGGCUUUGCCGGGUAGCCGGCCUGAGAGGGUGACCGGCCACAUUGGGACUGAGAUACGGCCCAGACUCCUACGGGAGGCAGCAGUGGGGAAUAUUGCACAAUGGGCGGAAGCCUGAUGCAGCAACGCCGCGUGCGGGAUGACGGCCUUCGGGUUGUAAACCGCUUUAGCCUGUGACGAAGCGUGAGUGACGGUAAUGGGUAAAGAAGCACCGGCUAACUACGUG